UACGGAGGGUGCAAGCGUUGUUCGGAAUUACUGGGCGUAAAGCGCGUGUAGGCGGCCUCUUAAGUCUGGUGUGAAAGCCCGGGGCUUAACCCCGGAAGGGCACUGGAGACUGGGAGGCUUGAGUACCGGAGAGGAAGGUGGAAUUCCUGGUGUAGCGGUGAAAUGCGUAGAUAUCAGGAGGAACACCGGUGGCGAAGGCGGCCUUCUGGACGUGUACUGACGCUGAGACGCGAAAGCGUGGGGAGCAAACAGG
rnacentral:rRNA from 1 species